rnacentral:rRNA from 1 species
UACGUAGGUGGCGAGCGUUGUCCGGAUUUACUGGGCGUAAAGGGCGUGCAGGCGGUUUGUUAAGUGCAGGGUGAAAGCUCCCGGCUCAACUGGGAGAGGUCCUUGCAUACUGGCGAACUCGAGGGAGGCAGAGGAAAGUGGAAUUCCCGGUGUAGUGGUGAUAUGCGUAGAUAUCGGGAGGAACACCUGUGGCGAAGGCGGCUUUCUGGGCCGACACUGACGCUGAGGCGCGAAAGCCAGGGGAGCGAACGGG